rnacentral:rRNA from 2 species
UAGGGGAGCCGAAGGGAAACCGAGUCUUAACUGGGCGUUAAGUUGCAGGGUAUAGACCCGAAACCCGGUGAUCUAGCCAUGGGCAGGUUGAAGGUUGGGUAACACUAACUGGAGGACCGAACCGACUAAUGUUGAAAAAUUAGCGGAUGACUUGUGGCUGGGGGUGAAAGGCCAAUCAAACCGGGAGAUAGCUGGUUCUCCCCGAAAGCUAUUUAGGUAGCGCCUCGUGAAUUCAUCUCCGGGGGUAGAGCACUGUUUCGGCAAGGGGGUCAUCCCGACUUACCAACCCGAUGCAAACUGCGAAUACCGGAGAAUGUUAUCACGGGAGACACACGGCGGGUGCUAACGUCCGUCGUGAAGAGGGAAACAACCCAGACCGCCAGCUAAGGUCCCAAAGUCAUGGUUAAGUGGGAAACGAUGUGGGAAGGCCCAGACAGCCAGGAUGUUGGCUUAGAAGCAGCCAUCAUUUAAAGAAAGCGUAAUAGCUCACUGGUCGAGUCGGCCUGCGCGGAAGAUGUAACGGGGCUAAACCAUGCACCGAAGCUGCGGCAGCGACGCUUAUGCGUUGUUGGGUAGGGGAGCGUUCUGUAAGCCUGUGAAGGUGUGCUGUGAGGUAUGCUGGAGGUAUCAGAAGUGCGAAUGCUGACAUAAGUAACGAUAAAGCGGGUGAAAAGCCCGCUCGCCGGAAGACCAAGGGUUCCUGUCCAACGUUAAUCGGGGCAGGGUGAGUCGACCCCUAAGGCGAGGCCGAAAGGCGUAGUCGAUGGGAAACAGGUUAAUAUUCCUGUACUUGGUGUUACUGCGAAGGGGGGACGGAGAAGGCUAUGUUGGCCGGGCGACGGUUGUC